GGCCAAAUCAAUAAUCCAGCACCUGGAAAGAGCCUAUACAGCUUAGCAGCAGGUGGAUGCCCUUGAUGGGAAGGGAUAGAGACUGGAGCCCGACCUCGCAGUGAACGCGCAGUGAGAACGGAGAUGAUAUUCCAGAAGCUUGGCCAUAAGGGAAGAAGAGAGGUGUAGUUGGUGAUCUUCGCCUGGUUAGCAGCACGGUUGUGAGCGGGACACAGCUUACUCGUUAAUGGAGAAGGCUGGGAGCAGACACCUGAUGAGAGAACAGCCCCAGAAAAGGGAAAUGCCUCACUGAUCUCCAUCUGCAGCCUUGCCCAAACCUGCUAGUUUUAUCUCCAUAGUUUCAACUUACCCAAUUCCAAAAUGCACUAUAUAGUUCCGUGUACGCUUCCGGUCGAUUACUGGUUGGUUCCUGUUGUCAGAAGGAUGGACCUUCCCCCUGCCUUCAAAGCUGUUUCAGUGUUGGAAAGAAGAGGAGCCAAGCGUCCAAUUCCUCUCCUUCCAUCAUCUGCCUGGCAAAUACCUGCUCAC